UGGGGAAUUUUGGACAAUGGGGGCAACCCUGAUCCAGCGACGCCGCGUGAAGGAUGAAGGUCUUCGGAUUGUAAACUUCUUUUAAAGGGGAUGAACUGACCGUUGAAGAAGCGGUUUUGACAGUACUCUUUGAAUAAGCCACGGCUAACUACGUGCCAGCAGCCGCGGUAAUACGUAGGUGGCAAGCGUUACUCGGAAUCACUAGGCGUAAAGCGCAGGUAGGCGGUUUGAUAAGUCUUUUGUGAAAGCUCCCGGCUCAACUGGGAGAGGCCAAAGGAAACUGUCAGGCUAGAGUGUGGCAGAGGAAGCUAGAAUUCCCGGUGUAGCGGUGAAAUGCGUAGAUAUCGGGAGGAAUACCUAUGGCGAAAGCAGGCUUCUGGGCUAUCACUGACGCUGAUCUGCGAAAGCUAGGGGAGCAAACAG
rnacentral:rRNA from 1 species